ACCUUGGCCAGGGCUCCACCUCCUAUGGAUUUUAGAAGUCUUCCUUCCUUACCCACCUCCAUUUCUGAAAAAGCCACCGGGAAUACAGUUUGUUCCUGGUUUCCCUCCAAUUCCCUGCAAGAUCUAGAAAGGAAUCCGGUUCAUGGAUUCCCAUCUCAUAACUGAGGACAAAGAGGCUCAGAGAAGUCUGGAAACUUGUCUCAGUUAAGACAGCUAAGUAGUGAUGGAUAGGGACUAUGUAAUGAGCCCACCAUGGGGCUCAAAUCCUUAACAGCUGCCCCUGGCUUGCCACAUUGAGUCUUCCUCCAGUUCUGAGCUUGCAGAGAUGCCCAAUAAGGUCCAACUUGAUGGAAUUCUUCAGCAGAGUUUCCCCACUGAAGUAAUUUCUAAACAGUGAGUUCCAAACAUCCGAAGGGAGUCCUGUGAACAAGGAAGAGCUCCAGA